UUUCAUUUCACACGGCUUUAUUUAGAAAAUGAAAAAGGGAUCUUCCUCACCUCAACGGUCUUAUAGAGGGCUUUUAGUCAAUUUGAAAAGAUAGGGGGUCUUUUGUAAUAGGUUCAUAAGAUAAGGGGUGUUUGUACCAAUAAGCAAUUAUUCUUGAAUUUCUUUUUCAUAUACUUUUCAACAAAAAGCAAAACAGUAAAUUAAUGGAUAAAAAAGAAGAAAAAAUGUAGAGGAACACAUUAGAGACAUUGCCACAGAAGCAAAAAACAUUAAUCGACUCAAAUUCUUUUUCCUUGAGCAUUUUCAAGCAAUGAGAAAUCAUUCAAAUAGUGCAUGACUCUUUCUUUGACCUAAGCAAAUUUGAAUAUCCUUUUUUUCCCUACCGUUUGCUUCAGCAAAUCAAAAAAUGUUGCGGAUAUCUUGAACUUUGGCUGAAAAUUUUCGAAAAGGAAGAGCAUCAGGACGUGUAUGAGUGUGGAUGCAAAAUAAUGAGUCAGAAAUGGUAGUGUGCACAAGAUAUGCACUAAAAUGCACUUGAUGUUCACAUCCCAUAAAUUUUGUGGCCCAUGUGCAUAUACAGGUAUUAAAUUCUGAGUUAAUAGAAGUUAGCACAAGUGCAUUACUGUCAAAACCUUUUUGUACAGAUACCAGCCCUUCUCCGUUGCUAUCUUCAACCAUUCUUCCAGCGUUUUUCAUCUCUAACAUCAUAUGAUUUAAUCAACUUCAGAGUGAGUGAGAGAAGGAAUGCUUGUGGCUUCAUCUUCAUUAACUUUCCCCAUGAUUAAUUACAAGCUUCAGACAAAAUCUCCGAAAAAAGCUGUCCAAAAUUAUUAAUGACAUUCUACAGACUACAUGGCUAGCAAAACAAUUGUCUAAACAACUAAUUGAACACUUUAGAGUCCCCAUGUGUAAAAUAAAUAUUAAAAAAUAAUAAAGAAUUGUAAAGGAGAAAAAAAAUAGUUGUCGGGAAUUUGCUGCCAGACAACCCCCAACAGGCGAUGAUGUUUAAAGGUUAAUUUCAUAGAUUUUGGCCAAUGGUUGAAAUAGGAAAUCAACACCACCAUUAAUACGUCGACCUGAAAAACUAAGUGGGUCAUUUGAAGCAACAUUUUU
rnacentral:lncRNA from 1 species